ensembl:snoRNA
GCAUGGCCGAAUUCUGGUUUACUCUUGAAAUGGUAAAUGCAGUCAGACACUAUGCCAAAUUAUUGUUUUCACACACUGACUCAACAGAAUAAGUGCAAAUGAUGUGCCUUAUUCUUAUGUCAUAGUGAAUACAGAA